rnacentral:rRNA from 1 species
UACGGGGGGGGUAAGCGUUGUUCGGAAUUACUGGGCGUAAAGGGCGCGUAGGCGGCCUUCUAAGUCGAACGUGAAAUCCCUGGGCUCAACCCAGGAACUGCGUCCGAUACUGGAAGGCUUGAGUCCGGGAGAGGGAUGCGGAAUUCCAGGUGUAGCGGUGAAAUGCGUAGAUAUCUGGAGGAACACCGGUGGCGAAGGCGGCAUCCUGGACCAAUUCUGACGCUGAGGAGCGAAAGCCAGGGGAGCAAACGGG